CCCCUCUCAGUGUCGCACCUGGAGAGUUUCCAAUACUCUACCAGUUUAGGCUAUGGGAGGGAGAAUCAAGCAGAGUCCUAUCCAUUUCAUUCCUAGUUUGGGAAGUGGCUAGCGAGUGGAAGGCAAUCUUCUACAAGU